rnacentral:rRNA from 1 species
GAUGAACGCUGGCGGCGUGCCUAAUACAUGCAAGUCGAGCGAACGGACGAGAAGCUUGCUUUUCUGAUGUUAGCGGCGGACGGGUGAGUAACACGUGGAUAACCUGCCUAUAAGACUGGGAUAACUUCGGGAAACCGGAGCUAAUACCGGUUAAUAUUUUGAACCGCAUGGUUCAAAAGUGAACGACGGUCUUGCUGUCACUUAUAGAUGGAUCCGCGCUGCAUUAGCUAGUUGGUAAGGUAACGGCUUACCAAGGCAACGAUGCAUAGCCGACCUGAGAGGGUGAUCGGCCACACUGGAACUGAGACACGGUCCAGACUCCUACGGGAGGCAGCAGUAGGGAAUCUUCCGCAAUGGGCGAAAGCCUGACGGAGCAACGCCGCGUGAGUGAUGAAGGUCUUCGGAUCGUAAAACUCUGUUAUUAGGGAAGAACAUAUGUGUAAGUAACUGUGCACAUCUUGACGGUACCUAAUCAGAAAGCCACGGCUAACUACGUG